UCAUAAAGAAUUUGUACGUUGCAGGAAAGGUAUAAUAUAGGUUAAUUUUAAUAUCUUUUUGGCCAUUGUUCGUUAGAACAGUAACUAGAUUCACAGUAUAUAAGUAAAUGGUACACUGUGCGUGAAUUUGGCGCUUGUCAAUAUCAAGAUAUUGCAUAUUUCAAUCAAGUAGAAUAUUACGGUGAAAGAAUAAAGAUGUUUUUUAGAUUUUUUUUCAACAAGCUGCGAGAUAAUUUCGAAGAAAUGUUUUCAUCGAAAUUCUCCACAAAAACAUUUUCGCAUGUUUACAAUCUCGCGUCAAGGUCACGUGAUUCGCGCGUUCAAAUGCUAUGUUACGGCGCACACUCACAUAGGUGACACCAGAAUGUAGCGUAGUUCACGUCGCGUCUGUUUUCUGGCUUCACUUGCUACGUUUCGGUUGCUUUGAUAGUUUGUUUUUACGGAUCGGUUGUAACGCAAAUCACGAAUAUUCUGUAUUAAAUACAUGUUUUAUCUGUUAAAAGUAAACGAGUGCGAUUUUUGUCGGGAAAACCGAGGAUAGUGUCGGACGUUUAUCAGAAUGUAUUAUUUAUUGCGGUUGUUUACGAUUAACGGUCGUUUGGCGGUUAAGCAUCGGUACAGUUAUAGGUUUGUGUACGUCGAUUCUCUGAGAAAGCUUAAUAACAACUUGAGCAGAUGCUUGAAACAAUUUAAGGCAGAAUCUGUAAUGAGAAUCUGCAGCAAACUGCAAUACUUUAGCUGAUACAGUUGGCUGUGAGAGAAUGUCUUUACUAGAGAGGAGAGGAGGGGAGGAGGG